CGGCACCUUGCAAUCUACGGCGGUGAAAACGCGAGUGGCAUUCCUCUCUUGCUUGCGUUACGCCUGUGAAAUCUGACAGCGGUGCCAGCAUGUCGUCCGAUCCGCCUUCAACUGAACGCUCGCUGACUGAUGCGGAAGGAGCGCUUUGCUUCUUGCUUGCGUUGCGCCUGUACCUCACAGCGGUGGCAGUAUGGCGUCCGAUCCGCCUUCAACUGAACGCUCGCCAACUGGUGCGGAAGGAGCGGUUUGCCUCUUGCUUGCGUUGCGCCUGUGAAACGUGACAACGGUGGCAGCAUGUCGUCCGAUCCGGCUUAAACUGAACGUUCGCCGACUGGUGCGGAAGAAGCGGGUUGCCUCGUUUCGCAGGGGCCAUCAAAGAAAAUCGUGAAGCUCACUGGCACCCGGAAACUCGCCGACCUCCACGAAAGCCUGCGGACGGGAGGGUUCGUGUACCUGAUGACAGGCAAUGAUUUUCUAACGCAGGCUGUCUGGUAGUGCGGCUGGACAUGCGGAGAAUGCAGUCAAAGGAGAGUUCAAGGAAUUGUCAACGUACACACUGCCUCCGAUGCCCAUCGACGUUGCUGCACACCUCUUAAAUAUUACAGCAGGAGGCAUGCCUGACAAUCUUCAAAAGAAAAUUGAAUGGAUUGCCUACAACUCGUCAUCUCAGACAAUGUACACAAAUAAAUUCUGCAAUGUUGCUGCAAGGAGCCUCAUAAACCAGUACCCAGCACUGAGGAACACAUUGUGCCUUGGCCAUUUCCCAUGGUAUAUGUGCCUAAGAAACAAGUACAAAAACAUGCGAAAGUGAAUGCCACCAGGAUGCCCUGAAGUCGAUGCAGAAGUGAAAGCAAGAAAGGCAAGCGAAAUUGUAACACAUGCUCAAAAUCUGGAUUUUGAAGACGGGUGAUCAGCUACAAGUUUGCAUGCAUAUUUCACUGGAUAAAGUGACUCUCCUUUCUUUGUUAUGUGGCUUAUUUGAAACAUUUAGUUGCUUCUCUUGAUGUACUUGUUCGUUUCAUUUACAUUUUUUUCUUUAACAAAUGCAUACAUGCAAUCCAGCUAUAGCAACUAUAUCUGCAAUGCUGUCAUCAGAGAUAUUGUAGGUGAUCAAAGAAGCAAAAUAUCGCAUCGCCACCUUGAACCUAGAGUGAAACAUUAGUUCAAGAUGUAGUUGUAGAUGAAUUUAUGACUAGUAACACAGCAUUCGCACUGUAAUGUAUAUUUAUAUACAUGCUAAGAUGUAGUGAAAAGUGUGUGGCUAUGCUGCUCUGACACUUCAGUUGUUUUAACCCUUCAUUGAUGAGUUCUGCAUACAGCAUACAAAAAAAAUAUUAAUUUUUCUUGCUGAUUUUUGGCAUUGAGUAAGAAGUUUGUUGUUAAAUGUAUUGAGCCAACACUGAAUGACUGGCAGCAAGUGUCAUUUGUUGGUUUAGAGCAGGAACACAGGAUGGGAAAAAAAAGACAUGGGACUCGUUUUCUUUGGAAAGCACGGUCAGGGGAGACAGACCAGUGCAAGAUCUCCUGUAGUGACCUCAGACACACAAUGCAAAGAGCUCUCUCUACAGAUUCCAAACGCAGCCAUGUGGUUUGGGGAGAAGCCCACUUCCCCCAUACUACUGAAGGAGGUUCUACAAAAUAUCCUUUAUUUUCGUUGAUUAUGCUUAUUCUCAAUGUCUUUUGCACAUUUAGGUAUCAAAUAUUUUGUUUUGUAUUUAUAUGCGCGGUCAUUAAAGGGUUAAACAAAUAAAGUGGUUCCAAUGAAUGUGAAUGUAUAACUUUAGCGACUCUAGUCGCAAUGUGUUGAUCAUUCCACAAUCUUUGUGAGACCACGAAACGGGAACUAGGCAGCAUGAAAAUAACUCAGCAGUACCAAGAAGGAAGCUUCAGCACUUAUACAGUACUACAGAAUACACUUCUAUGCUGUACCUGUGGUGUCCUUUUUAUUAUGUGGUCUUGAUCCCACUAUGGGGAAAUAUUUCUGCUUUGCAAGUGCAUUGCAGUACUUUAAUACGGUAACUGCUUGCUGCAAAAGAAAAGUGUCAUUAGAGUACUGCAUAAGGAUCAUGUGUUAUGAGGCAGUCACUAGACGUGGUAUGUCACAGCACUGAGUUGCCGGCAGCCAUUAUAAUUAGCUGUUUUCUGUGGCAUUGUUAACUUGACUGAACAUAGUGAGCAUUAUUUGAUCAAUAAACAGUACUACAUAAGUCUGGCCCUUAUUAGGAACGUUAUCUCAUCUAUGUGAUGCGCACAACCCGCUUUUGAUGUUACUGAGAUGGAGUGACUCCUUGCAAAGCAGCAGGGUAGUCCUGUUAAUGAUGCUGUCAUUCACACUUACGCAGAUUGUUUAGUAGGCAUUAGCUCAGUGUCAUUCCCCCAUGGAAUCACAGCUUGCAUUUCAUUCAUGUGUAAUAGAAACAUUCUGUAGAUUUCAUGUGAAAAUGUGACAUUGGAGGGCAUUAUGUUAUAAGUUCACGGCAGUGAGCCCCAUUUUUGGAAGACAGCUGUUGUGUCAAAUUACUUACAGCAAAGUGAAGCCAUGUACAUUCUUGCCUUAACUACUGCAGUUUAGUAUGGGCCACAUGACCAAAACAAACAUAAAUAAGGUUCUCGUAUUCCAAAAGAACAUGGUUCGGAUAAUCGCUAAUGUUGAUAAUACAACUACCGCCAAGUGUGCUUUUGAAGCAAUAACAUUCUCAGCAUCAAUCAUUUGUAUAACUUUAGGUUGUUACACAAAAUUUAUUUCUCAAUGGCAUCCACUGUUGAUUUUUAUUCUACUCUGGCAUCUUUGGACAUGCGUCGUGCUAACAUACACACAAGACCUAUUAUUACAUGGAAUAUACCAUGUUUUCGCGCUAAUUAUAAAUAACAAAUUUUGUCUUAUAAAAUGCCCCAUGUUCUAAACACGUAUAAACAUACAAAAGGGUAUACCAAAGCUGAGCUGCGGAAAUAUUUUGUUGAAAUGUGAUUUUAUGUGUUUGCUAGUAGAUGCUGCAUGUUUGCUUCGUUAUUACUUUUAUUAUUUCUGAACAUAUGUGUGACCAUUUCAGCGUUUCGAUUUUACUGUUCAAAUUUUGUGCAAAGAUUAUUAGACUCUGUAUGCAUACAUAGUGAAUGUUUCUCUUUAUUGAAUGUGACUAUUCUAUGUGUGUCUGUUGAAGAUUUCCUGCACCACUCGUGUGCUGGUGCUUGUAGGGGUUUUCUGGACACAGUCAAGCUGUGCAGGCAGCUUUUUGCCAAAAACCUACCCUCCAGUUGAAUCUGGAAAAUGAACUUAUACUUAUAUCCUUAUAGUUAUUUAAAUAUGUUCUGCCUAUUGUGUCUCCACAUGUGUGGGCUUGUGAUGUGCCAGGCCAUUUGUGGUUCGUUCAAAGGGAACAUUUACGCAUGCAUUAUAGCUAUUCUCAGGCUCCUCUAUUCCGGCUGUAAACUGGAUUCUCUGCUUAUAAGAAAUAAGUGUUCCUUGUGAUUACUAUAUGUGCUCUUGCUAAAGGCUACUGUGAUGUGUUCAUGUUCUUAUUGAAUAAAAUGUUUACAAA